CAUUAGAGUGACUGAACUAAGUUAUGGUCUCUUAAACCAAUAAAUAAUAUUUAUAUAUUCCUAAUGA
rnacentral:tRNA from 1 species